rnacentral:sRNA from 1 species
GAAAUAUGCUCCCAAAAUGUAAAAAUUUAAGUUGUAUUUUUUAAGGCAAUUUUUUGGAUAUUUCGUUGCCAUAGUAACAGUUUGAUAGUUAAUAAGUCACCAGUUUUAUCUGUAUUUUGUCAUUUUUAGGAUGUGUACUUUCUAUCUUAUAUGCUCUAUUUCUUUUUAAACUUGUAUUUAUUAUUAGCAGUAUGUCCACAAAAUGUAACAAUUUUUGGUUUUUUGAUGAAAACGAUAUUUUGGGAAAUUUUAUUGACAUGGUUACCAAAUGCUUUUUAAAAACCCAUCGGUUUUAUCUAAAGUUUUAAAUGUUCAAGGUGUGUACUUUCUAUUUUAGGUAUUAAGAUUUCUUUGACAAGUGUUAUUUUUCCACAACAUCUUUCCAAAAUAUGAUGAUAGGUAGUGUAUAAUGUAAAAUUUGAAUUUUCAUGUAGUUUCAUCGCCAUGGUAACACAUUAUGUAUUUGAAAACCCAUGAAUUUUAUCUUAAAAGUGUUUUGUAAGGGAUGUGUACUUUUUAUCCUCUGUGCUCAAAAUUUUGGCACAUGUGGCAUUUUUACGUAUUAUGCCCUUGAAAAUGUUUGAUUCUGAGGAAAAACCUUAAUGACGAUUUCUUAAAAAACAACAUGUUUUUAACUUAUUUUUACCAUUUGUUGGAAAGGUAGAAUAAUAUUGUUAUUAUGAUUAACAGUGAAUAUAUUGGGCCAUAUUUACAGAAACAAAAAUAAAAUUUGUAUAGUUUUG